rnacentral:rRNA from 1 species
CAGUCGCCACGGGAAUACGAAGGGGGCUAGCGUUGUUCGGAUUUACUGGGCGUAAAGGGCGCGUAGGCGGACUGAUAAGUCAGGGGUGAAAUCCCAAGGCUCAACCUUGGAACUGCCUUUGAUACUGUUUGUCUUGAGUUCGAGAGAGGUAAGUGGAACUGCGAGUGUAGAGGUGAAAUUCGUAGAUAUUCGCAAGAACACCAGUGGCGGAGGCGGCUUACUGGCUCGUAACUGACGCUGAGGCGCGAAAGCGUGGGGAGCAAACAGGAUUAGAUACCCCCGUAGUCCCUGUCUCUUAUAC